UACGAAGGGGGCUAGCGUUGUUCGGAUUCAUUGGGCGUAAAGGGUGCGUAGGCGGCGGGGUAAGUUUGAUGUGAAAUCCCCGGGGCUCAACCCUGGAAUUGCAUUGAAUACUACCUUGCUAGAGUACCGGAGAGGAAACUGGAAUUUACGGUGUAGCAGUGAAAUGCGUAGAGAUCGUAAGGAAGACCAGUGGCGAAGGCGAGUUUCUGGACGGUAACUGACGCUGAGGCACGAAGGCCAGGGGAGCAAACGGG
rnacentral:rRNA from 1 species